UAAAACAGGAGUGUGCUGUUUAGUGUCUAU
rnacentral:piRNA from 1 species